rnacentral:rRNA from 1 species
GUCGAACGGACAAGUAAGAGCUUGCUCUUAUGAGUUAGUGGCGCACGGGUGAGUAAUGUAUAGCUAAUCUGCCCUACACUAGAGGACAACAGUUGGAAACGACUGCUAAUACUCUAUACUCCUCUCUAGCAUAAGUUAGAUAGGGAAAGUUUUUCGGUGUAGGAUGAGGCUAUAUUGUAUCAGCUAGUUGGUGAGGUAAUGGCUCACCAAGGCUAUGACGCAUAACUGGUCUGAGAGGAUGAUCAGUCACACUGGAACUGAGACACGGUCCAGACUCCUACGGGAGGCAGCAGUAGGGAAUAUUGCUCAAUGGGGGAAACCCUGAAGCAGCAACGCCGCGUGGAGGAUGACACUUUUCGGAGCGUAAACUCCUUUUGUUAGGGAAGAACAAUGACGGUACCUAACGAAUAAGCACCGGCUAACUCCGUGCCAGCAGCCGCGGUAAUACGGAGGGUGCAAGCGUUACUCGGAAUCACUGGGCGUAAAGGACGCGUAGGCGGAUUAUCAAGUCUCUUGUGAAAUCCUAUGGCUUAACCAUAGAACUGCUUGGGAAACUGAUAAUCUAGAGUGAGGGAGAGGCAGAUGGAAUUGGUGGUGUAGGGGUAAAAUCCGUAGAGAUCACCAGGAAUACCCAUUGCGAAGGCGAUCUGCUGGAACUCAACUGACGCUAAUGCGUGAAAGCGUGGGGAGCAAACAGG